UGACAGUUUGGUGCCAUUUUGGUUCUGUUCUGACAGUUUCAGUGCUAUUUGGUGUCGUUUUGGUGCUAUUUUGGUUCAGUUCUGGCCCAGUUUUGGUGCCAUUUUGGUGCAGUUAUUUCAGUGCCAUUUCACUGCUGUCAUUUUGGUGUCGUUUUGGGGCCAUUUUGGUGUCAUUUUGGGGCCAUUUUGGUGCUAUUUUGGUGCCAUUUUGGUUCUGUUGUGGCGCAGCUUCGGUGCCAUUUUGGUGCAGUUUUGGUGCCAUUGAUUUUGUUGUGGUUUUGGUGCCAUUUUGGUGCUUUUCUGGCUCAGUUUCAGUGCCAUUUUGGUUCUGUUUUGGCGCAGCUCUCAGCGCCAUUUUGGUGCAGUUUUGGUGUUAUUUCAGUGCCAUUUCAGUGCCAUUUCAGUGCCAUUUUGGUGCUAUUUUGGUGCCAUUUUGGUGCUAUUUUGGUACUUUUCUGGCUCAGUUUUGGUGUUACUUCAGUGGCAUUUUGGUGUUAUUUCAGUGCCAUUUCAGUGCCAUUUUGGUGCUAUUUUGGUGCCAUUUUGGUGCUAUUUUGGUGCUUUUCUGGCGCAGUUUUGGUGUUAUUUCAGUGGCAGUUCAGUGUUAUUUUGGUGCCAUUUUGGUGCCAUUUUGGUGCUAUUUUGGUACUUUUCUGGCUCAGUUUCGGUGCCGUUUUGGUUCUGUUUUGGCGCAGCUCUCAGUGCCAUUUUGGUGCAGUUUUGGUGUUAUUUCAGUGCCAUUUCAGUGCUAUUUUGGUGCAGUUUUGGUGUUAUUUUAGUGGCUGUUCAGUGUUACUUUGGUGCAGUUUUGGUGCCAUUUUGGUGCUCUUUUGGUGCUUUUCUGGCGCAGUUUUGGUGUUAUUUCAGUGGCAGUUCAGUGUUAUUUUGGUGCCAUUUUGGUGCCAUUUUGGUGCUAUUUUGGUACUUUUCUGGCUCAGUUUCGGUGCCAUUUUGGUUCUGUUUUGGCGCAGCUCUCAGCGCCAUUUUGGUGCAGUUUUGGUGUUAUUUCAGUGCCAUUUCAGUGCCAUUUUGGGGCCAUUUUGGGGCCAUUUCAGUGCCAUUUUGGUGCCGUUUUGGUGUUACCAUUUCAGCCCCAUUCCAGCCCCAUUUUGGUUCUAUUCUGGUCCCAUUUCAGCCCCAUUCCGGCCCCAUUUUGGUCCCAUUUCGGCCCCAUUUUGGCCCCACUCCAUCCCCAUUUCAGCCCCACUCCAUCCCCAUUUCAGCCCCAUUCCGGCCCCAUUUUGGUCCCAUUUCAGCCCCAUUCCGUCCCCAUUCUGUACCCAUUCCGUCCCCAUUUCAGCCCCAUUUCAGUCCCAUUUCAGCCCCAUUUUGGUCCACUUUCAGCCCCAUUUCGAUGCCAUUCCGGCCCCAUUUCAGCCCCAUUUCAGCCCCAUUCCGGCCCCAUUUCGGCCCCAUUUUGGUCCCAUUUUGGUCCCAUUUCAGCCCCAUUCCGGCCCCAUUUCGAUGCCAUUCCGGCCCCAUUUCGAUGCCAUUCCGGCCCCAUUUCAGCCCCAUUUUGGUCCCAUUUCAGCCCCAUUUCGGCCCCAUUUUGUUGCCAUUUCUAUGCCAUUUUGGCUCCAUUCCCGCCCCAUUCCGGCCCCAUUUCGGUGCCAUUCCGGCCCCAUUCAUUUCGGUGCCACUCCGUCCCCACUGCGGCCCCAUUGCGGUAUGCGGAUGGCAGUGACUCAUUUCCCCCCCCCCAAUCGCUGUUUGUUUGCCCGCCGUUGCCACGACCCCCCCGCGCCCCCCCCCCCCCCUCCGCCCCACACAUUCUUUCCACGGCGCCGCGGUUAUGGGGCGGGGAUGGGGGGGGGGGGGGGGGGGGGGCGAUGAAUCACUGCCCCACAGGAAACGCCGCCGGGGCCACACUCAGAUGUGGGGAAUCCGAUGGGGGGGGGCGGGGGAACGGCCCUCCGCUAUGGGGCACCGCCCCACUCUGUGCUAUGGGGCACAGCUCUGUGCUAUGGGGCACUGUGCCCACUGUGUGCUAUGGGGCACUGUGCCCACUGUGUGCUAUGGGGCACAGCUCUGUGCUAUGGGGCACAGCUCUGUGCUAUAGGGCACUGUGCCCACUUUGUGCUAUGGGGCACCGCCCUAUUCUAUGGGGCACAGCUCAGUUCUAUGGGGCACCGCUCUAUUCCAUGGGGCACAGCUCUGUGCUAUGGGGCCCUGUGCCCACUUUGUGCUAUGGGGCACCGCCCCACUCUGUGCUAUGGGGCACAGCUCAGUGCUAUGGGGCACUGUGCCCACUUUAUGCUAUGGGGCACAGCUGUGUGCUAUGGGGCACUGUGCCUACUUUGUGCUAUGGGGCACAGCUCUGUGCUAUGGGGCACUGUGCCCACUGUGUGCUAUGGGGCACAGCUCUGUGCUAUGGGGCACUGUGCCCACUGUGUGCUAUGGGACACCGCCCCACUCUGUGCUAUGGGGCACCGCUCUGUGCUAUGGGGCACUGUGCCCACUUUGUGCUAUGGGGCACAGCUCUGUGCUAUGGGGCACUGUGCCCACUUUGUGCUAUGGGGCACUGUGCCCACUCUGUGCUAUGGGGCACAGCUCUGUGCUAUGGGGCACUGUGCCCACUUUGUGCUAUGGGGCACCGCCCCACUCUGUGCUAUGGGGCACAGCUCUGUGCUAUGGGGCACUGUGCCCACUUUAUGCUAUGGGGCACAGCUGUGUGCUAUGGGGCACUGUGCCCACUUUGUGCUAUGGGGCACAGCUCAGUGCUAUGGGGCACUGUGCCCACUUUAUGCUAUGGGGCACAGCUCUGUGCUAUGGGGCACUGUGCCCACUUUGUGCUAUGGGGCACCACUCUAUUCUAUGGGGCACAGCCCCACUUUGUGCUAUGGGGCACAGCUCUGUGCUAUGGGGCACUGUGCCCACUUUGUGCUAUGGGGCACAGCUCAGUGCUAUGGGGCACUGUGCCCACUUUGUGCUAUGGGGCACAGCUGUGUGCUAUGGGGCACUGUGCCCACUUUGUGCUAUGGGGCACCACUCUAUUCUAUGGGGCACAGCCCCACUUUGUGCUAUGGGGCACAGCUCUGUGCUAUGGGGCACUGUGCCCACUUUGUGCUAUGGGGCACAGCUGUGUGCUAUGGGGCACUGUGCCCACUGUGUGCUAUGGGGCACCGCCCCACUCUGUGCUAUGGGGCACAGCUCUGUGCUAUGGGGCACUGUGCCCACUUUGUGCUAUGGGGCACAGCUCUGUGCUAUGGGGCACUGUGCCCACUUUAUGCUAUGGGGCACAGCUCAGUGCUAUGGGGCACUGUGCCCACUUUGUGCUAUGGGGCACCACUCUAUUCUAUGGGGCACAGCCCCACUUUGUGCUAUGGGGCACAGCUCUGUGCUAUGGGGCACUGUGCCCACUCUGUGCUAUGGGACACCGCCCCACUCUGUGCUAUGGGGCACAGCUGUGUGCUAUGGGGCACUGUGCCCACUGUGUGCUAUGGGGCACCGCCCCACUCUGUGCUAUGGGGCACAGCUCUAUUCUAUGGGGCACAGCUCUGUGCUAUGGGGCACUGUGCCCACUUUGUGCUAUGGGGCACAGCUCUGUGCUAUGGGGCACCGCCCCACUCUGUGCUAUGGGGCACAGCUCAGUGCUAUGGGGCACUGUGCCCACUGUGUGCUAUGGGGCACAGCUCUGUGCUAUGGGACGCCGCCCCACUCUGUGCUAUGGGGCACAGCUCUGUGCUAUGGGGCACUGUGCCCACUCUGUGCUAUGGGGCACCGCCCCACUCUGUGCUAUGGGGCACAGCUGUGUGCUAUGGGGCACUGUGCCCACUUUGUGCUAUGGGGCACCGCCGCACUCUGUGCUAUGGGGCACAGCUCUGUGCUACGGGGCACUGCUCUGUGCUAUGGGGCACUGUGCCCACUGUGUGCUAUGGGGCACAGCUCUGUGCUAUGGGGCACUGUGCCCACUUUGUGCUAUGGGGCACAGCUCUGUGCUAUGGGGCACUGUGCCCACUCUGUGCUAUGGGGCACAGCUCUGUGCUAUGGGUCACUGUGCCCACUGUGUGCUAUGGGGCACCGCCCCACUUUGUGCUAUGGGGCACAGCUCUGUGCUAUGGGGCACUGUGCCCACUUUGUGCUAUGGGGCACAGCUCAGUGCUAUGGGGCACAGCUCUGUGCCAUGGGGCACCGCCCCACUUUGUGCUAUGGGGCACUGUGCCCACUUUGUGCUAUGGGGCACAGCUCAGUGCUAUGGGGCACUGUGCCCACUUUGUGCUAUGGGGCACAGCUCUGUGCUAUGGGGCACAGCUCUGUGCUAUGGGGCACUGUGCCCACUUUGUGCUAUGGGGCACAGCUCAGUGCUAUGGGGCACAGCUCUGUGCCAUGGGGCACCGCCCCACUUUGUGCUAUGGGGCACUGUGCCCACUUUGUGCUAUGGGGCACUGUGCCCACUUUGUGCUAUGGGGCACAGCUCUGUGCUACGGGGCACUGUGCCCACUUUGUGCUAUGGGGCACAGCUCAGUGCUAUGGGGCACUGUGCCCACUUUGUGCUAUGGGGCACAGCUCUGUGCUAUGGGGCACAGCUCUGUUCUGUGGGGCACAGUGGGGCUGCCCCAUAGCUUCCCUGCCCCACAUCGACGCUGCCUUCCGCACAGAUGGCGGCGGCCCCACGGGGCCCCACCCCUUAUCUCUGCACUGCAGAUGGGGUGUGUGGGGCAGCGCCGUGGGGCUGUAAUGUGGGGCAGCGCCGUGGGGCAGUGCUAUGGGGAUGUACUAUGGGGCUACACUGUGGGGAUGUAAUAUGGGGCAGCGCUGUGGGGCUGUAGUGUGGGGCAGCGCCGUGGGGCAGUGCUGUGGGGCUGUACUAUGGGGCAGUGCUGUGGGGCAGUCUAUGGGGCAGUACUAUGGGGCAGUGCUGUGGGGCAGCGCCGUGGGGCUGUAAUGUGGGGCAGCGCCGUGGGGCAGUGCUAUGGGGAUGUACUAUGGGGCUACACUGUGGGGAUG
ensembl:lncRNA